ACCUCAAAUCGGGUAGGACUACCCGCUGAACUUAAGCAUAUCAAUAAGCGGAGGAAAAGAAACUAACAAGGAUUCCCCUAGUAACUGCGAGUGAAGAGGGAUAAGCUCAAAUUUAAAAUCUGGCGGUCUUUGGCCGUCCGAGUUGUAAUUUAGAGAAGUGUUACCCGCGCUGGACCGUGUACAAGUCUCCUCGAACGGAGCAUCAUAGAGGGUGAGAAUCCCGUACAUGACACGGACUGCCAGGGCUUUGUGGUGCGCUCUCGACGAGUCGAGUUGUUUGGGAAUGCAGCUCAAAAUGGGUGGUAAAUUCCAUCUAAAGCUAAAUACAGGCGAGAGACCGAUAGCGAACAAGUACCGUGAGGGAAAGAUGAAAAGAACUUUGGAAAGAGAGUUAAACAGUACGUGAAAUUGUUGAAAGGGAAACGCUUGAAGUCAGUCGCGUCCUUCAAAGAUCAACCUGGCCUUUUCGCUUGGUGCACUCUUUGGAGGACGGGUCAGCAUCAGUUUCGACCGGGAGAAAAAGUUGGUGGGGAGGUGGCACCUUCGGGUGUGUUAUAACCCNCUUGCAUAUAUCNUGGUUGGGACUGAGGAACGCGGCACGCCGAAAGGCCGGAC
rnacentral:rRNA from 1 species